CGCGGCCUAUCAGCUUGUUGGUGAGGUAACGGCUCACCAAGGCAUCGACGGGUAGCUGGUCUGAGAGGACGAUCAGCCACACUGGGACUGAGACACGGCCCAGACUCCUACGGGAGGCAGCAGUAGGGAAUCUUGCGCAAUGGGCGAAAGCCUGACGCAGCAACGCCGCGUGGGGGAUGAAGGCCUUCGGGUCGUAAACCCCUUUCAGCAGGGACGAAACUGACGGUACCUGCAGAAGAAGGUCCGGCCAACUACGUGCCAGCAGCCGCGGUAAUACGUAGGGACCAAGCGUUGUCCGGAAUUAUUGGGCGUAAAGAGCUCGUAGGCGGUUCGGUAAGUCGGGUGUGAAAAUCCAGGGCUCAACCCUGGGACGCCACUCGAUACUGCUGUGACUGGAGUCCGGUAGAGGAGCGUGGAAUUCCUGGUGUAGCGGUGAAAUGCGCAGAUAUCAGGAGGAACACCUAUGGCGAAGGCAGCACUCUGGGCUGGUAUUGACGCUGAGGAGCGAAAGCGUGGGUAGCAAACAGGAUUAGAUACCCUGGUAGUCCACGCCGUAAACGGUGGGCACUAGGUGUGGGGACUUUCAACGGUUUCCGUGCCGAAGCUAACGCAUUAAGUGCCCCGCCUGGGGAGUACGG
rnacentral:rRNA from 1 species